UCUCAAACUCCUGGGCUCAAGAGAUCUGUCUGCCUCAGCCUUCCAAAAUGCUGAGAUUACAGGCAUGAGCCAUUGCACCUGGCCUCAACGUUCUUUCAGUUAUACUGGCAACAAACCAGCUUUUGGUGCUUUGAAAUUCUUGCAUUUUAUUUAACACUUCUGAAAUCACAGUGACCAGGAAGGAGGGGAUCAAGGAUUGCCAGCUUUUUAAAGAAAGCCUUGGAAAGCCUCUCCUAGGAUGGCCAUGCUGUGAGGACUUCUGUAGCUUUUGGUUGGAGACUUUGAAACUCCUCCCAUGCCAGCCUUAGAAAAAGACUGAUUUAAUGAAGUCUUUCUGCCAAAACAUUUAAGACCCAGCCACUUUUCAAAGCUGAGUUCCUCUGUAAAGUCACCGUAGGUUCCUGCUACAAAAACCAAUCUUUGUUCUGAGUGUUUGAUGAAUACUGCCAUGUUGUGGUUUUAGAUGUUGGGUUCUUGGCUUUGUUAUGUGGACUUCUGGCUUUGGGAGGUAUUUUAUCCUGUUAGAAUAUUAUCUCUUCCAGUCUAUUUCUCUCAUUUUCUAUAUCACAAACAUUUAAGCGCAUUCUAAUGAAGUAUGCAGUUUAAGAGAAGUUAAAUAACAUUGAAUAAUAGAUUGUCCUAGAUAUAUUUUUACAUACUUGCUCUCACACCCUCCUCAACCCACCCAUUGCCCCAUUUUUUUUUCUUCCAAGUAACCAAGUUCCCUGACUUGGAUGCUGCAUCUUGGACUUUAGAGGUGAAGUCAGAUGACAAAAGAAUUUUCGUGCAAAUUAUAUUUCCCUCAAGUGCAUGUAUGUCUAGCGGAAUGCAAGGCUUACUAGAGGGAGGAUGAAAUUUGGUGAGCCUUAAAGGAAAUGUAAAAAUCCUGCUUAAUGAUCCUGUUAGGUUUUUACACAGAUUAACUGUUAUUACACAAGAAAUUGUAUGUCCGUUUGGAAUUUCUCAUCCUCUAAAUAGCCAGCUUUAGCACUAUAAACUGGGAAGAUUUCUGUUGUAUCUCUGCAUAUAUAAUAUUGCAUUACUGUGAGCCCCAUGGCCCUUUUCCUGAACAGCAUGUGUCUGCAUGGGGCUCAGUUUUAUGUGAGCCAAACAAAUCUUAGACCUAGUUUUUGGGAAUUUAUUAGUAUGUGCAUGUUUUUAUGUUUUUUAAGAGAGAUUUUAGGAUCUAAAGAACUGAGACAUGGCAAGUUACAACAAAGCUUUGCUUAGGGACGUGAUUCAAGGAUCUCAGCCUAAGUCUGAACACUUUUGCCUGUAAAAUAUCCUCAUUCCAGAUCUUGAGGCAAAUUGUCUUUGAUUCACAUUUGCCUUUUCUUUCUGUGGUGCUUGCCUGGUGCUUGCUAACCUCUCUGGCACCUGCUGCCUGUAUACCUCCCUAAGGUGUCCAUUCCCUGCCUUGGAACCACCUGAAACUUUCCUGCUUUUUACAACAUACUAAUAGAUAUUGUUUCAUCGUAUAGGGAGCUGCUCUUACAGAAGCACUAGAAAAUUUCUGUGUUUAUAGCUUAUAAUAAGUGUAGCACUUUAAAAAUUAUAACAAGCAAGGGUGUUUCAUAACCCAGUAGAACAAAAAUCCCUAACGAUGAAAUCUAGGUGUAUUCUGGGAUGGGAUCCCUCUUAUCACACCUCUCUGUUCGCUUUGUGUCAGUAGUCCUAGGAGGUUUCUUGAUGUUCCCAAGCAUCCCAAGGUAAGUGUGCAUACCACAGCGUGCUUUAAAGAUACGGCAUUUUGGUGUAGAGCAUAGUUACAGGAUACCUCUGAUAGAAAGGUGGUUGCAAAACUACCAGGACAUUGUCUCAGCUGUGCCAGAACUCUGGGUAGAUGAGUGUUAGAUUAUUAGCUUUGGCUUUGAAGUGCUGACCUGCAAAGCUCUGUUGCCGUUGCCCUGGGUCCUUGCUGACCUGGCAUCCUGGAGAGACCCUGGUCUUCCUAGACCUAACUCAGGCUGCAGCUGUGAGCUGGGUGCCUAGUGCCAUCUGCCUGGGCAAAUGUAGGAAAUGCCAAGUGGGCUGGCAAUUUUUCGUGAGUGAGGCCUUUGGAUCCUCACUCAGCCAUAUGGUGCUAAAAUGUCAAACUGUUCCUGAGUGUGGGCCAUGAUGGAGAAGGCUAGAUAGAGAACACACACUUCAGAUAAAGAAGCUGCUGAGUCUGUUUAUUCCCCAGCCACAGGCUUAUCACUUUGCUACUUUAACCAACAUGUACUGAAUAGUGCUUAGUUGAUAGCAGGCUACUUGUAUUGUGAGAGGUACCAAAAAAAGAAAAUAAAAUAAUCAGAUGGUUCUUAUUGGCAGUGAUUAUGUCUCCUGGGUCCAUGUAUCUUGUAUGCAAUACUGUCACUAGAGGAAGGUAAAAUGAAGAGAUUCCACCAAUAGAGUUUAAUGGGAGGAAACUACCUUUGAAACUGAAGAAUGCCAAGGAAUCUGAGUCCUCAAAAAGAUUGUAGCAUCCUUAAGUUGUAAUAGCAGAGACAUUGCCAAGCCUCAUACUCUUUUCCUCUUCAGCUUCUUUCUGAUGUAUUCUGGCAAUUGCCCUUGUUGAUGGAUUGACAUAAUGCAUUGAAAAGUUUACAAUCCAUGUAGGAAGAGAAAACAUAACAGGGACUUACAGAUGAUCUCAAUCAAAACAUCCGCAAGUGCUAAGUGAUUGAGACCAAAGGGAAUGUGUAAGUCUAAAAGGGAGAGAGGAGGAGAUGAGUGAUGUGGUUCAGAUGAGGUUAGCCCUGGCAGACUUCCUAGAGGAGAUGGCUGGGCUUGGGUUUGGUCCAUGUAGCUCCUAGUCCCACUCUCAGGAGACUUUACAUAAACAGAUUUUUCUCCUGGCACAGGGUAUCUCACUGGUUGGAAAGAACAGGAAGACAAAGAAUAGAUGCUUAAAUUCCAAGAGGCCCUCCCAUCCCUUAUAGUUGGAGGGCCUCAAACUUCUAGAUGUGUCCCCAAAUGCAUAGAAUUAAACAAAUAUGUCAGAUACAAUUUAAACCUAGGAAAAAGGCAAGUCAUUUCAUAUAUUGGAUAGAGAGUGGUAGCUUGAAAGACUUUUUCACUAAUGGAGCUUUGUUGCUUUUUUAGUAUAAAUACCUUCUGCUUGUCUUGGUUUAUAAAUAUUCAAAGAAUUGCUUUGAUUUUAGUUAACCAUACUUGACCGUAUAUAAGUUCAGCUAUUAUGCAAAUACAAACAGCCAGUUUCAUUUGGCAGUUUUGUGGCAUUUCUGGGAUGCGGGAGCCUAGAGCCUGUUCAUUUCUACUGCUGUGGAAGUCUCGUCUGUGUCUGGGAUUCAGCCCAAGGCAUUGUGAUCCUAUGGUGAAUUGCUUGGAGUUGAAAAAAUCAUAGAGUCCCCUUAUAUCCCUAACUCACCCACUUCCCCCAAUGUUAGCAUUUUAUAUAACUAUAGUAAAAUUAUUUUAGCCACCCCCACUUAUCCACCCUUAGAGAAAGCCUCACACCUAUUCAUAAAAAGACAUGUACAAAGCUGCUUUGUUUCCUGGUACAGCCUGAAUGUCUAAUAAAAACAAAUAGGUAACCAUCCUGUGCUAUGCAAUAGUAAAAGUCAAUAAAUGUCAAAUGUAUAAUGUUAAUGAAACAAACAAGUUGCAGAAGGGUAUAUGCCUUAUGUUUCCACCUAGUUCAGGUUUAAAAGCAUGCAAAGCAAUACUACAUGUAUGCAUGUAAAGUAACAGUGUAAUAAAUUGUACAUGUUUGUGAAUGAUAUACACAAAAUUCAGGAUCCUGGUUUGUUCUGCAGUGGUAAAGAAUAUGUGUGAGAUUUCUAUUGUACUUGAAACAUUUAAUUUUAAAAAUUGAGUGGUAGGCACUCUGGGGAUUAUUAUAUUUUCUAAACCUGAUUCAAGGACUAAAAUGUUUAAUUUUAAAAAUAGUAGAUAAUAAUAAUAAUACAAAAGCCCAGCAAGACCAUUCAUUAGAAAUUCGUUAGUGGUGAGCUUUCCUGAGACAGUGGUGUACGUUCUGAGUUGAAAGGCAAAGGAGUAAGGCUUCAGUUGAAUUCUUGACUCUUCUACAUGGGUUAGACUUUCAACAUGUCUUGAGUUUCCUGGGCCACAUAUUCUCUACCUGUAAAAUUUCCAUGACUGCCUUUAUAAGCCUAACAGAAGUGAAAAUUCAGAGCUAAAACUCUUCAAUCAUGAUGCUCGAAAAGGUGUGCAAUGUUGUUCAUGGCCCUGUGGUCUGCCUGGGUUGACAUCCCGGCAGCCCCGCUUUCUAUGUAUGUGACCUUGCCUGAGUUAUUUAUUCUUUUGAUGUCACAGUUUCUUCAUCUGCAAAAGGGGCUUAAUAAUAGUACCUACCUCAUAGGGACGUUGUGAGGACCACAUGAGAGCCUGUUUCUCCCUCUCCCAUCUGGCUCCCAGACUCAUUGUAUUUGAUUUUCAUAGAGUUAAAUUACUAGGUACCUUAAAUUUGAAUUAGUUGCAAGUAGUUAAGAAUUGUAACACAUUACAUUUUACAUGCAGUAUAAAAUGUUACAUAUUAAAAGUGUGGACUUCUGGCCUUUCUUGAACAAAUAGAGCAUUUAGCAGCACUGGCCCCAAUUGCAAUCUGGCAACUCUGCCGUCCCCUGUAAGUGGAUGUGUCCCCUGUUCAGUGUAGUUUUCAGAACUCUCUCAUGUCCCUUGGACACUGAGGCAGCCUGUUCAUUGUCAUUUAUUGUCCAGCAGACAUUUUCACCAGUGACAUUACCUGUCAGGCCCCCAUUAACAAUUGAGUUUGCAACCCUAAUUUAAAGAGGUCGUAGUGAUGCAAAGAGGGCAUUGGGUUAUGUAUCAAUCCAUGUUCUCCAGAGAAAUAGAACCUGUAGGAGGUUUUACAUAUGUAUCUAUUAUGCCAUUCACACAUAAGGAAAUCCUUGGGCAGGAGUUGAUGUUGCAGUCUUGAGUCAGAAUUUCUUCAGGGAAACCUCAGUAUUUGCUUUUAAGGCCUUUCAACUGAUUGGAAAAGGCUCACUCGGGUUAUCAAGAAUAAUUUUGCCUUUACUUAAAGUCAGCUGAUUGUCAGUGUUAAUCAUAUCUGUAGAAUACCUUCACAGCAAUACCCAGAUUAGAGUUUGAUUGAAUAAUUGGGUACUGUAGUCUAACCAAGUUGACACAUGAAGCGAACCAUAACAGACUGCAAGUUUUUGAGCAGUCCUGUGAUACUGUGUGGCAACUGUACACUUUUCUGUCCCUUAUGGUAGAGGGUUGCCGUGGGAUUGGGGAUUGAGGAUUUUUCAAAGGUGUUGAAUACAAAAAGCUCGGAGAACUUCUGAGCUUUGCAAAUAAAACUACUGUGUCUGUGACUCUGAUUGGAGAGGCAGGAUGUUGGAGAUUGAUGAUGCAAGAUGCUUGAGAAGUAGAUGCUGAGUUUGGUAGUUCUGGGAGUGUCAUUCAGGGUUGAGAAUAGUCAUGUGUAGACUCUGAGUUUUGAAGGAAGAAAGGGCAUUUAGGAAGAAAUUGUAUUUAUGUUUAUUUUACCAGCUGUAGAGCCUCGUGCUAACCAGGUUUACAGGUGUGUGCUCUGCCUGCUCAUGGUCAGGUGUGAAUGCAGGUUCUGAAAACAUCUCCGUUGUUGGGUAUUAAUACAGGUUCUGAAAACAUCUCCGUUGUUGGGUAUUAAUGCAGGUUACGAAAACAUCUCCGUUGUUGGGUAUUAAUGCAGGUGCUGAAAACAUCUCCGUUGUUGGGUAUUAAUGCAGGUGCUGAAAACAUCUCCGUUGCUGGGUAUUAAUGCAGGUUCUGAAAACAUCUCCGUUGCUGGGUAUUAAUGCAGGUUCUGAAAACAUCUCCAUUGUUAGGUAUUAAUGCAGGUUCUGAAAACAUCUCCGCCAUGUGGCUCUGUGUGUUGGAAGGUUGCCAACAAGUCUUAACAGGAAUUCUCCCAAAGCCUUCUUUGAUUCUUAGAGAUUUGUGCAGAGCUGUUAUAGAGAGGAUGAAAGGCAAGGAAAAAGAUUCAUCUGCGUAUUUUUUUUCCUGUAUUUACAAAAUCCAUCAGGUAAGAUUAUUUUUUCUUAUGUGUAUGUUUUUUGUUUUAAAUUUUUUUUUUGUCAGGGUGGACAGGAGAUCUGAAUAAAGCCUCAAGACUUCAUUUCUAUAUGUCUUUUGAGAAUUUGCUACAACUUAAAAUACUGAGUUGUGUCUUGUUUCCCUGAAAAACAAGACUGGCCAGAAGAUCCAAGAAUAUUAAUCUUAAGCAAUGGCCCCAAAACCCAACAGCUCAGCCUCACAGUUUUAAUCUCAAGCAUGUUUUUGUGUGGAACAUAUUCAGCUACUGAUGACCGAAUAUAUCAUCAGCUCUGGGUGUGGUCUGGACAUUGUUGCACUGGAGUGAAGAACAGCGUCCUGCAGGUGAGGGUUAGGGGCUCCAAUAUCUCCACAUUUCAGAGUUCUCUGCUCAAGGGGAGAGCAUAGAACCUUGUGUUAGUUGGUUUGUUAUUGUGACCAGUCUUUUACUUUUGUAUCCUUGGCUUUUCAUGGGAUAAUUCCAGCUGUGUUUUUAUUCUUGGACUAGAUUAUAAACUUUUGGGAGGGAAAGCUGUGAAUCCAGAUUUCGGACCUAAGUUGUUCCAUCUUGGUUCUGUUGGUGCCUUAGCUUUGAAGCCUUAGGGGAUGUCUCAUUUUUCUCAUCUUAACUGCAAGGGGAUUGAGCUGGAUGGUAACUAAAAUUCUAGAGAUACUGAAUUUUCCUUUAAAAACUGCACUUUGGCAAAAAUUUUUAGCUUGGUUGGAGCUCCUCACAGUCCCUUGAUUCUUCUACUUUUUUUUUCAACUAACAUCCACUCUGUUCAGAGGAAGCCUGUAGUCUGUGGCAUGCUACUACCUCAGUUCUCCUGCUUUCUUCAAGCGUCCGAUUCUGCUAUUUCCCUUUUACUGUAAAGAUAAUGAUUUUUACUGUCUCUUUGGUACAUCUUCAUUGGUCCAUUUAGUUUUGUCACCUUGACUCUCUCUCUCUCUCUCUCUCUCUAUAUAUAUAUAUAUAUGUUUUUCUUUUUUUAGGAAAACUUUUAAUGAUCACUGUUAAUCUGUACGGCACUUACUAUUUUGUCACACUUGACUACAGAAGUAUCAGGCUGCCACUGAAUUUGUUAAUUUGAUGCUUUCCCUGUUCCCUCUCAUUUUAGGUUAGCUAACAUGAAAUCCCAUCCUCACCUGUGAUAAGUUUAGACUUCGAUAUUGCCCUUUUCCUAAGCUCUGCCUUAGUCACAUGUUGUCAUUUAUAUUUAAAAAAUUAUACUCUUGAUGACAUUGCUAACUAAUAGACCGGUGGCAGUGCUUUCUGUUGGGAUGAAUGGCUACUGGAUCUAUAAUUUUUCCUUGUAUUAAAUAUCAUACAGAUUUGCUUUGGGAAUUAAUAUCUUUGUUCAAAAGCCUUGACCCUUUUUGGGAGUAUUUUUUGUGCUUGCAACUUGCAGUAGCAUUUUUGUGGAUUUAGUGGUAGCCAGUCUCCACACCAUCUGCAGUUGUUUCCUAGAUCUGAGAGGCCCUGGUUCUUAAUACGCAAAUUGGUUGCAGGAGUUGCCGCUACUGUUGAAGCUACCCGUUUCUUAUGUCUUUCCUGACUCUUGGUACCAAUUACUGCCUUAGUCUGCUCAGGCCACUAUCACACAAUGCCACAGACUGGGGGGGCUGGCUUAAAAAACAAACAUUUAUUUCUCACAGCUCUGGAGGUUGCAAUUCCAAGAUCAAGGUACCUGCAGUUGAUUCCUGCCUGCCUGCAGAGGGGUUACGCCAACCUGCAGAGUUGAAAUUAUAAUGCAAACCCACUUCCUGGCUUGUAGACAGCCAUCUUCUCACUGUGGCUUUUUCUUGGUGCAUGUGCAUGGAGAGAGAUCUUUCUCUGCCUUCCUUUUCUUAUAAGAGCACUAAUCUCAUUAACAGGGCCCCAACUUCAGGACCUAAUGUAAACCCCAUUACCUACCAAAGAGGCCCCAUCUCCAAACUGUCACAUUGUGGGUUAGGGCAUCAACAUAAGGAUUUUUGAGAGACACAAACAUGUAGCUCAUAAUAGGAACAGAGAAUUGUGGGCGAGUUGGGUAUGGGCAGGCGUGUGGUGAAUAGCUCUAACCGCCUGGAGUUGGGAACCACCCUUGUCUUCUUCCUGCAUGCUGUUCUGCCCUUUUGGUAUUCAUACUUAGUCUCCACAUGUCUGCCUGAAUGUGUAAAUUGUAAAAAUUUCUUCGGCAAAUACUUUCUUGGCCAUUCUUCUUCAUCUGUAUCUGAGAGACUAUAACCUAGGCUCUGUAAGUAGAGAAAGCCUAUCAAGAGUAAAGGCAGCAAUUGUCCUUCCAUACCACAUGUAAGCCGAACUAGUGAGAGCCUAUUGCGUCCAUUUUCCAACAAAAUACUUAUGUAGCCAGGUGUGACAAAAUAGUAAGCGCUUUACAGAUUAACAGUGAUAAUGAAAAGUUUUCCUAAAAAAUAUAGUCAAGGUGACACAACUAAAGGAAACAAUAAAGAUGUAAUGAAAAGAUAGUAAAAUCGUUGUCUUUAGAGUAAAAGGGAACUAGCACAAUAGGUGGUUUGAAGAGAGCAGGAGAGCUGACAAAACAUGUUUUAUUUAGGAGGGUGUUGACAAACUGGAGUGGACCCAGAAGCAGACAAAGUUUUAGCAAGUAUGUCAUAUUUAAUCUAGAGGUGGGUGAUGAUGAUGAUUGAUUACGAUCAUGGCUAACAUUUACUGAAUGUUGACCGUGUGCUGCACACUGUGCAAAAGACUUUAUGCGUAUUAUCCAGAAAUGGAUAUUGCA